rnacentral:rRNA from 2 species
AAACGGAGUAGACUAACAAGGAUUCCCUUAGUAAUGGCGAAUGAACAGGGAAAAGCUCAAAUUUAAAAUCCUUUUUUUUUAAAGGAAUUGUAGUUUAAAGAAAUAUGACCAGUAACAACCUCGGUUUAAGAUAACCUGGAAAGGUUCUACAGAGAGGGUGAUAUACCCGUAUUUGGCUGAGGAGUUGAUUACAUAGAGUUAUAUUUUAAAGAGUCAGGUUGCUUGGGACUGCAGCCUAAAAUGGGAGGUAAAUUUCUUCUAAGGCUAAAUAUUGGCAAGAGACCGAUAGCGAACAAGUACCGUGAGGGAAAGAUGAAAUAGAACCUUGAAAAGGGGUUUAAAAGGAAGUGAAAUUGUUAAAAGGGAAACGCUUAAAGGUCGAGAUAAAUAAAAUGGAAAUGAUAUAUUAUUAUAUUAUGCUCCAAUUUAUUAGCGGUUAACGGGUAUUUUAAACAAUGGAGAAGAGUUUAAUUAAGGUAGGUUGGGGUUAAACCUAACAACUUAUAGGAUUAAAUUUUUACAUUGAUUAAGAUAUCAUAAAAAAAAUUUAGAAAUUUUAAUAAAUUAGAUUAAUUUUAUUAUUAAAAUAGUACUUGUACUCUUUUAGUAAAUAAAAUGAUAAAAUUUAUUAAAGGUUAUAAAUUAGUUUGACCUAGAGAUUUUUAAGCGACCCGUCUUGAAACACGGACCAAGGAGUCUAACAUGUUUGCGAGUAUUUGAGUAGUAAACUCAUAUGCGAAAUGAAAGUGAAUUCAAGGUAGGAUCCUUUUUUUUAAGGAGCACUAUCGACCGAUCCAUUAGGUAUUUUAUCUAAGGAAUUGAGUUAGAGCUAAUAUGUUGGGACCCGAAAGAUGGUGAACUAUGCCUGAAUAGGGCGAAGCCAGAGGAAACUCUGGUGGAGGCUCGUAGCGAUUCUGACGUGCAAAUCGAUCGUCAAAUUUGGGUAUAGGGGCGAAAGACUAAUCGAUCCUUCAAUCGCCC